CACUAUGAAUUGAUGAUCAUGGAUGUCUUUCGAAGGUCCCUUAAAACUGCACGUGUCCGGCCUCUACGGAUAUCCACACGAGACUUCGAUCUGAUUAGAAACUUCUUGAUCUCAUUGGAGUACUAGCUCCCUUAUAAAGAUUGUAUCUUGAUGGUUAAAUUUUUUUUUUCUCCCAAAACACUCUUAGAGAAGAAGAAAAAAUAAGAGGAUGAUAAUCUCUGCGCUAGAGAUCAUGAGAAGAACCCUUUCUUUUUUUUUCUUCCUAAAACUCAUGCACC
rnacentral:lncRNA from 1 species